rnacentral:rRNA from 1 species
CUGGCAGUCAGAGGCGAUGAAGGACGUGCUAAUCUGCGAUAAGCGUCGGUAAGGUGAUAUGAACCGUUAUAACCGGCGAUUUCCGAAUGGGGAAACCCAGUGUGUUUCGACACACUAUCAUUAACUGAAUCCAUAGGUUAAUGAGGCGAACCGGGGGAACUGAAACAUCUAAGUACCCCGAGGAAAAGAAAUCAACCGAGAUUCCCCCAGUAGCGGCGAGCGAACGGGGAGCAGCCCAGAGCCUGAAUCAGUGUGUGUGUUAGUGGAAGCGUCUGGAAAGGCGCGCGAUACAGGGUGACAGCCCCGUACACAAAAAUGCACAUACUGUGAGCUCGAUGAGUAGGGCGGGACACGUGGUAUCCUGUCUGAAUAUGGGGGGACCAUCCUCCAAGGCUAAAUACUCCUGACUGACCGAUAGUGAACCAGUACCGUGAGGGAAAGGCGAAAAGAACCCCGGCGAGGGGAGUGAAAAAGAACCU